UCCCUGAUGGUCCAGUGAUUAGGACUCAUGCUUUCACUGCCAGGGGCACGGGUUCGAUCCCUGGUCAGGGAA
rnacentral:tRNA from 1 species